rnacentral:rRNA from 1 species
UACGUAGGGUGCAAGCGUUAAUCGGAAUUACUGGGCGUAAAGCGUGCGCAGGCGGCUUUGCAAGACAGAUGUGAAAUCCCUGGGCUCAACCCAGGAACUGCGUCCGAUACUGGAAGGCUUGAAUCCGGGAGAGGGAUGCGGAAUUCCAGGUGUAGCGGUGAAAUGCGUAGAUAUCUGGAGGAACACCGGUGGCGAAGGCGGCAUCCUGGACCGGCAUUGACGCUGAGGCGCGAAAGCCAGGGGAGCAAACGGG